AGUGAACGCUGGCGGUAGGCCUAACACAUGCAAGUCGAACGGCAGCACAGGAGAGCUUGCUCUCUGGGUGGCGAGUGGCGGACGGGUGAGGAAUACAUCGGAAUCUACUCUGUCGUGGGGGAUAACGUAGGGAAACUUACGCUAAUACCGCAUACGACCUACGGGUGAAAGCAGGGGAUCUUCGGACCUUGCGCGAUUGAAUGAGCCGAUGUCGGAUUAGCUAGUUGGCGGGGUAAAGGCCCACCAAGGCGGCGAUCCGUAGCUGGUCUGGGGGGAUGAUCAGCCACACUGGAACUGGGACACGGACCAGACUCCUACGGGAGGCAGCAAUGGGGAAUAUUGGACAAUGGGCGCAAGCCUGAUCCAGCCAUACCGCGUGGGUGAAGAAGGCCUUCGGGUUGUAAAGCCCUUUUGUUGGGAAAGAAAUCCAGCUGGCUAUUACCCGGUUGGGAUGACGGUACCCAAAGAAUAAGCACCGGCUAACUUCGUGCCAGCCGCCGCAGUAA
rnacentral:rRNA from 1 species